CAUAUGCUUGUUUCAAAGAUUAAGCCAUGCAUGUAUAAGUACAGACUGCACUAAAGUGAAACCGCAAAUGGCUCAUUAAAUCAGUCAUAACUUACUAGAUAUCGUCCCAGUUUCCUUGGAUAACUGUGGAAAAUCCAGAGCUAAUACAUGCACUUAAGCUCCGAUAAUCUAUGUUCUUAACGGGAUAUGGAUAGGAAGAGCGCAAUUAUUAGAUUUCAAAAAGUGUCCGAUGAUCGUAUGAUUUUAUUUCGGUAAUUUCGUUCAUAUACGACUCGUUCAUAAUUUUUGGAUGACUCCGGAUAAUUCUAGCCGAGCGCUAAUGGUCUAUCAGUACCAGCGCCGUAUCUUUCAAGUGACUGCCUUAUCAGCUUUCGAUUGUAAGUUAAAUGCUUACUAUGGCUGUAACGGGUAACGGGGAAUCAGGGUUCGAUUCCGGAGAGGGAGCCUGAGAAACGGCUACCACAUCUAAGGAAGGCAGCAGGCACGUAAAUUACCCAAUCCCAGCUUGGGGAGGUAGUGACGAAAAAUACUGGUGUACGACUCUAUUUAGAGUUCAUGCACCUUAAAUAAAAAAAGGAAUGAGUUCAUUCUAAAUACUUGGACAAUGAUCCAUUGGAGGGCAAGUCUGGUGCCAGCA
rnacentral:rRNA from 1 species